rnacentral:rRNA from 1 species
UACGUAGGCCGCGAGCGUUGUUCGGAGUUACUGGGCGUAAAGCGUGCGUAGGCGGUUUUCUAAGUUUGGUGUGAAAUCUCCCGGCUCAACUGGGAGGGUGCGCCGAAGACUGGAAGGCUUGAGUAUGGGAGAGGUAAGCGGAAUUCCUGGUGUAGCGGUGAAAUGCGUAGAUAUCAGGAGGAACACCUGCGGUGUAGACGGCUUACUGGACCAUAACUGACGCUGAGGCACGAAAGCGUGGGUAGCAAACAGG